rnacentral:rRNA from 1 species
GACGAACGCUGGCGGCGUGCUUAACACAUGCAAGUCGAACGAUGAAGAAAAGAAUCGAAGCUUCGGCAGAAAUUCAUUUCGGAUUAGUGGCAGACGGGUGAGUAACGCGUGAGCAACCUACCUCUUACAAAGGGAUAGCCUCGGGAAACCGGGAUUAAUACCAUAUAACAUUGUGACGAAGCAUUUCGAUGCAAUCAAAGCUACGGCGGUAAGAGAUGGGCUCGCGUCCCAUUAACCGGAUGGGGAGGUAACGGCUCACCAUAGUGACGAUGGGUAACCGGCCUGAGAGGGUGAACGGUCACACUGGAACUGAGACACGGUCCAGACUCCUACGGGAGGCAGCAGUGGGGAAUAUUGCACAAUGGAGGGAACUCUGAUGCAGCGACGCCGCGUGAGUGAUGAAGGAAUUCGUUUCGUAAAACUCUGUUCUAUGGGAAGAAAAGGACUGUACCAUAGGAGAAAGCUCCGGCUAAAUACGUG